GGUGAGGAUGGGGUAGGCUAUCUUCAUACCUUUAUAAGGUAUAUACAGGUGAGGAUGGGGUAGGCUAUCUUCAUACCUUUAUAAAGUGUAUACAGGUGAGGAUGGGGUAGGCUGCCUUCAUACCUUUAUAAGGUAUAUACAGGUGAGGAUGGGGUAGGCUGCCUUCAUACCUUUAUAAGGUAUAUACAGGUGAGGAUGGGGUAGGCUAUCUUCAUACCUUUAUAAGGUAUAUACAGGUGAGGAUGGGGUAGGCUAUCUUCAUACCUUUAUAAAGUGUAUACAGGUGAGGAUGGGGUAGGCUGCCUUCAUACCUUUAUAAGGUAUAUACAGGUGAGGAUGGGGUAGGCUACCUUCAUACCUUUAUAAGGUAUAUACAGGUGAGGAUGGGGUAGGCUGCCUUCAUACCUUUAUAAGGUAUAUACAGGUGAGGAUGGGGUAGGCUGCCUUCAUACCUUUAUAAGGUAUAUACAGGUGAGGAUGGGGUAGGCUACCUUCAUACCUUUAUAAGGUAUAUACAGGUGAGGAUGGGGUAGGCUGCCUUCAUACCUUUA